ensembl:lncRNA
AUAACAUUGUGGUACUAUGUGUGCAUUAUCAAUCUAGCAUAACUGUGUUGACCCUGUCCACCUUUAUCGGUCUCCCCAUAGAAGACCAAUACAAAUGGACAGAGUUGAAAACCCAAUCAGUUUCAAUCCAAACAUCCACCUGGCCUGUGAACAUUUAUUUAACCCUCAUUUGACCAGGCUGCAGUCCUCGCUGAGCAGCUGCAGCCGGUACAGAGCGUCCUUGGUGCGCAGCAGCUCCUCCUUUGUGCCCCUCAGACGCCUGGAUAGACAGUUGCGGCGGUUGCGGGCUUUACACUGGAGCCCCUGCAGAGCCCGCAUCGCGUUUCCGUGCUUGGCCAGAACCUGACGGUGUGGCAUACCCGGGGAAGGCCACUCUGUGAAUCCUGGAAGCGCUGUAGCACCACCGCGUGGCGGCCC